rnacentral:rRNA from 2 species
AACAGCUCAAAUUUGAAAUCUGGCCCCUAGGGUCCGAGUUGUAAUUUGCAGAGGAUGCUUUUGACAAGGUGCCUUCCGAGUUCCCUGGAACGGGACGCCAUAGAGGGUGAGAGCCCCGUCUGGUCGGAUACCGCGUCUCUGUAAAGCUCCUUCGACGAGUCGAGUAGUUUGGGAAUGCUGCUCAAAAUGGGAGGUAUAUGUCUUCUAAAGCUAAAUAUUGGCCAGAGACCGAUAGCGCACAAGUAGAGUGAUCGAAAGAUGAAAAGCACUUUGAAAAGAGGGUUAAAAAGUACGUGAAAUUGUUGAAAGGGAAGCGCCUAUGACCAGACUUGGGCCCGGUGAAUCAUCCAGCGUUCUCGCUGGUGCACUUUGCCGGGCACAGGCCAGCAUCAGUUUGGCUUGGGGGAAAAAGGCUUUGGGAAUGUAGCUCCUCGGAGUGUUAUAGACCAUUGCAUAAUACCCUGGGCCGGACUGAGGUUCGCGCAUCUGCAAGGAUGCUGGCGUAAUGGUCAUCAGCGACCCGUCUUGAAACACGGACCAAGGAGUCGUCUUCGUAUGCGAGUGUUCGGGUGUAAACCCCUACGCGUAAUGAAAGUGAACGCAGGUGAGAGCUUCGGCGCAUCAUCGACCGAUCCUGAUGUUCUCGGAUGGAUUUGAGUAAGAGCAUACGGGGCCGGACCCGAAAGAAGGUGAACUAUGCCUGUAUAGGGUGAAGCCAGAGGAAACUCUGGUGGAGGCUCGCAGCGGUUCUGACGUGCGAAUCGAUCGUCAAAUAUGGGCAUGGGGGCGAAAGACUAAUCGAACCUUCUAGUAGCUGGUUUCCGCCGAAGUUUCCCUCAGGAUAGCAGUGUUGAUCUCAGUUUUAUGAGGUAAAGCGAAUGAUUAGGGACUCGGGGGCGCUAUUUAGCCUUCAUCCAUUCUCAAACUUUAAAUAUGUAAGAAGCCCUUGUUACUUAACUGAACGUGGGCAUUCGAAUGUAUCAACACUAGUGGGCCAUUUUUGGUAAGCAGAACUGGCGAUGCGGGAUGAACCGAACGCGAGGUUAAGGUGCCGGAGUGGACGCUCAUCAGACACCACAAAAGGUGUUAGUACAUCUUGACAGCAGGACGGUGGCCAUGGAAGUCGGAAUCCGCUAAGGACUGUGUAACAACUCACCUGCCGAAUGUACUAGCCCUGAAAAUGGAUGGCGCUCAAGCGUCCCACCAAUACCUCGCCCUCG